rnacentral:rRNA from 1 species
UACGUCGACGGCGGCGGCUUGGUCCCUCUGCGGCCGCUGGCAGCGGCGGCAGCACCUAGUGGUCCUGCGGCGGCCCGCUCCCCGCAGCUACUCUACGGGGGCCGCGAAGGGAGGCCCGCCCUCCUCCUCUCCCCGCAGCCGCUGCUCCGCUCACAGCCGCCACUCUACCAGAGACUGCCCGCACUACUCCGCCCGUCGAAACCGCACUUCGCACGCAAGCACCUCCAUAAGCGGUCCCGCGAGAAGAUAGGCUGCCACUACGAGUUGAUACCGGCAUCGAACUAGCUAGGGCUCAAGGUGACCACCCUAGCGUAGCUGUUCCUAUAAACCUAUCCCCUUCAAGGAGUGGUUGGUUACAGUAUUAAAUAGUGCAGGCGUUUACUAAAAACCUGACAUCAAACAUAACAAGACGGCUCGCAUAUUGUUGCGUACGAUAGAUAGUUUCGAAGCUGAGUAAACAAAACGACGAGGCCUUAUAACUCUGCUCUUCUUACCGGAACUACGACCUCCAAUUACCUAGUGGGACCCUUGCUAAAACUCCCGUAAUACGGUCGAUGAAACUACCGUUACCUAAUACCUUACCGUUUGAUUGUCCCGUGUAGCGUGUUGACCAUAUUUACACAACUAUACAACGUAAAGUUCCGUCAAAGUGAGUAUUUAUGAUGUUUCCAAAUGUUUUACAAGUGUGUCAUAAACCAAGUAUAGUGGUAACAAAGUACAAGCUAAUUGACCACGCCAAGAGAAUGUAUCAAACUUGGUAAAUCGUAAACCCUGGUGCUCCUAAGGCUAACCCUCUUGCUGCAGCAGGUAUCUAAUUACAUACCCUUGUGGCCCGGUUGAGUGAAAUGUCCUGUCCUCCCAACUGGCGACCCGCUACGCGACGUGCUCAUCCGGUCCUCCUUGUUCUCAUCUUCUCCUGACACCGGACAUCCACUCUCUUCUACUACGGUAACGGUAGAACUGACUUCCAACCCGUAGAUUUCUACGAACCGUUGGUCUUGAGACUUCGAUUUGUGGUGAACUUCCAUGGACCUUUAUGUGAUGAACGACUUCGACGUGUAGGAUGCGGGGUCCUCCUCCGGUUUACGUAUAAGGCUAGUACACUAGAUUUAUGAUUUCGAAGGAACGACCUAGAUUCCAAAUUAAAGAGACGGGGUUACGACCAAGAAUCCCAUUAUGUUCAAGAUGAGGUAUAAAAACUACGGGAGGUGUAUUUAGGUAGUGAGAGAACAACGGAACUUCGUAUGAAGGCAUCGUCGGCCUCGACUUGUAAAUCUCUCUGGUAUGACAUCGUUCGAACGAAAGAUCCCUGGACCACAAAGACGUUUGGGUUGCUAUCCGCACAAACUUUUUUUUCCCAGUCAAGCACAACGUUAAAGUACUUUUGAACGAAUACGCCACAAUAACGUGACCAUGUUUUUUACAGUACCAGAAAAAGAAGGACAAAUCUAGCGGUGGAUGGAUACUUAAUGCUGAGACCCGUACCGUCUUACAGUGGUAUUAAAAACAAGUCGUUGAUCUAAAGUAGGGUUCUGCACGGUAGAGAGAUUAAACUGAGACUCGUACAUUAUGUCAAUCAAUUAGUACACCCAACCAGAACACAGAAGGGCGACGUUAACUUAAUCAGAUUCGUUAGCUCCAGGAUGAUUAAUUAAUUCGACCGAUAAACGAACGAAGAACAUGGAUGCCGUACGAGAGACUAAAAAAAAUAGUGUCAUACGUUCGAAGAUUCGCGGCCUAACUACAGCAUGAUUGUUUAAUUCCACCAACUAAUGAACGAAAAAAAAGGAGUCAUAACGUUCGAAAUGACACUUAAUUUUCCUUAAUUUUCCUACCUCGGUCAUACGGAUGUCAACUAAGUGACUACAAGUUUAAUUGACGUCAUCGAAUAAAAAGGAUGUUGAAGUAACUUUCAAGGAAACGGCAUAGAUUAAUAGAUUUCAAAAGGAACAUGGUAAAAGGUACUCUAAUUACAUUAACCCUUAUGGUCACGAACAAACUUAGUAAAUCAAUUAAUUAAAACAUCUAUUUUGAACAUAAACAUACAAAAUCUUAAUGAUAAUAGGACCAUUUUACUGGUGUUCACUUUCCCAACAUUUCUAAUUAAUAAGAAACACCUUCGUAAUAACCAGAUUAAUUAUCUACAUGUACGUAGUUAUUACAACAACUCGAAAUCAACUAAGAUAUCACAGCAUGAUAAGCGUUUCAAGAUAAAACUCUUUUUUAUCGUUUAAGUUAUAACACCGUCGAUUUACCGCGCGGGCGACAUCGUUCACUCACGGGUAGCUUUAGUGGGAUUCGUAUAAACGCGACUAAAAGUACUAACGAGAAGACGGUCGUUGUUACAAGGAGCGUGAAGCUGGUGUGUUGACAUACAAGUAGAAGGUCUCAGGAAUAAGUAUCAAUUAAAGUUAGUGUUUCACUGUUUACGGUCAGAUAAUCAAUUGUACACAUAGAGGCAAAGAAGAUUCAAAAUUAGCUGGAUGAGACUUCAACAAGGAUUCUGUCACGGAGUUCGUUUCCCUUACUCGGAGUCAAUCACAUAGAUCGCACAAGCGCUAGGAAACAACCCUAUUUGUAAACACGUUCUCGUUCAGAGCAGUGACAACCAACAAUCAUGACAACGAACUAUUAAGAUUAAAAAUGAAGUCAAGUAUUCCGUUACAUCAAUACGAACUGCGUACUAUACUUCUGACGGUAAAACGGAAAACUGGAACCAAAGAAGGAGGUCAUUCAUUUACGUGUAUCAAGAAAAGAUUUAAUCUCGUAUACUGAACAACUAGCUAGAGACUCGAGUCAUUAUUAUAAUUCGGAAUUAGACAAAUAACACGUCUGUUCUACUCUUUCUUUACGAUGGGUUCUUAUACAUGAAAUAUUUGUAAAGUUGACAUUAGACCUUAUUUUAAUUUAUUUAUUCCUUUGUCAUAUAAGUAUAUAGAAAAAACAUGAAACUACCAAAGUGUGGUGUUCAAGGAUCUACCAUUAACACGACGUAUACAGACGAGAGAAUGAAACAAAAAGACUUGUCCAUCCAAGGCCUUCUACAGUACUUCUUAAAGAAACUCUUUUAAACGCACUCCACACAGAUUUACUAAAAAUAGAAGACUUGUAUAAGAACAUACUGAUUGACUUAAGUAAAAGAGUUUUGCAACCAUGAAAAGGAAAAAGUAAAUACAACGAGCUGACUCAGAGAGAGCCUAGUACAUUUGAGCUGUACGAUCGACUAGACAUCGUCACGCCUUCCACUCGAACCGACGGCCGUCGUCGAGGAAAGCGACUAGACGCCGCUACGUCUUCAACCCAACCUUUUUUCGUGCUGGCCGACGAGACUUCACCCAGCAUCCCUCUCGAAGCAUUCUCUAUCCCUCCCUCGAGAUAACCGGGCACGUACUGUAGGUUGGGUUACCGUAGUACGGGACCAUCCGUACCAACGUACCGGUGCCCCUCUUACCUCGUUCAUCGCACACUCCUCAAAUUCUUUACCCCUGUUCCCUGUUAAAUCAAUUAAUUCAGAUACAAUCAAAGUUCAAAAUAGGAACAACGCAAUUUUUUAAUUCCAACCUAAUUGGUGGUACAUGUAGAAGUUAAUGAAAAUUUAUUCU